rnacentral:rRNA from 1 species
UAAGGAAUAUUGCUCAAUGGGAGAAAUCCUGAAGCAGCAACGCCGCGUGGAGGAUGAAGGGUCUAUGACUUGUAAACUCCUGUAAAGAAGGAAAAAAUUCCCAUUGGAUGGGAGAUGAUGGUACUUCUGGAGUAAGCCCCGGCUAACUACGUGCCAGCAGCCGCGGUAAUACGUAGGGGGCAAGCGUUGUCCGGAUUUACUGGGUGUAAAGGGUGCUCAGGCGGAUUUGUAAGUCAGAGGUGAAAUCUUACAGCUUAACUGUGAAACUGCCUUCGAUACUGCAAGCCUAGAGUAUGGAAGAGAGUGAUGGAAUAUCUGGUGUAGCAGUGAAAUGCGUAGAUAUCAGAUAGAACACCAAUGGCGAAGGCAGUCACUUGGUCCAUUACUGACGCUAAAGCACGAAAGCGUGGGUAGCAAACA